CCCCACAGUCACACCACGCUGAACUUACCCAAUCUUGUCUGAUCUUGGCAGCUAAGCAGGCUCAAGUCUGGCUAGUACUUGGAUGGGAAAGAUACAAAGAGGAUGGAAAUAAAAGUGGGAA
rnacentral:rRNA from 1 species